AGCAGUGCUAACUGUAUGAGCUUUAGGAUGUUUCAAGACAAGAUUUACAGUACCAAACCCUCUUCAUAGCCUUAUUUGGAGCAAAUGCACUGUCUUCAAGCAGUAUUUAUUUACUCCCGGAAAUUAAUACAAGUACAGAUCUGCUUGGAACAGCAGAUCUGUAUCCCAUAGCAGACCCUAUCCCAUUGCUUCUGAAUCACCCUUUGGGCCCAUUGCCAUCCCACCUAGGAAGGUUUGCUACUUCUUAUCACCUGGAUGCUGGUAACGAUGGGAGGCUGCCAAGGGAAAGAGUGAGGCCUAGGGCAACCAGGGUGUAGUUUAGCCUCUGAAGCAAGGACAUGGUUCAUGGAUCUGUUUUAGCUGCUGUAUAGCAGGGCAGGAAAGUGUACUACAUCUGCACAGUCAGUAUACAGAUGGGAAAGAUGUUAAAAAAUAGCCUUAUAAAUUAAAAAAAUAGCACCUUAUAAAUUAAAUCUCAUCUCACAAGGUGUUCUACACCUGGGCAAUCUAUAAGAAAUGAUUCUGGUAUCAAUCGCAGGCUCUGUGGCAAACAUGCCAUGAAAACCCAGACUCAAGAAGUUUCUAGGCUCCUGGAGGAUCAAGUCUACCACAGCACAGCAAAGUGGUUGCUGCACCAGAUUCUGCCAGAUUUUUUUGUCUUCACGGUCCGAGAUGGAAAUAUUCUCCCAUUUUCAAGACUAGCAGAACAUCCUGUAUCCUGGAUGAGAGCACCCAGCUCUUCUUUUCAAGCCAAGCCGUGAAAGCAAAGGAGAACCAAGCAGCAGCCAGGUUUUCGACGCUGAGUGUCCUGAAGAAGAUGCUGAGAUCAUGGCAAUCAGCAUUCACUGAGUGAGCGCCCACUGCAUGACAACCCAGGUGCUUCCUCAGAAAGCUGAUGAGUUGACUGGCAUCAGAGACUUUCCAAACCAAGGAGUUGGAUGGAAAGGACCACGAGGGAAAUUGGCUGCAUGCCCAAGAGAAGGCUUUGAAACAAUGCAAUCCCGUUUUCACAAUGUCCAUAAUGGAGAUGUGAUGUCCAAAUCUCCAGUGCCACUGUGCUUGCACGGGCAGAGCCCUGCCAGCUGUUCAGUCAGGCUGUGGCUGAAUUUGCCACAAGUGCAAGUCCUAGGAUUUGGAUUCAAGACGAGGAGUGGGACCUCAUCCCACAGAAAGCUUUUCCACCAAGCAAGCCUGGGGUGUCAGACUGGGAGCCUGUUUCUGUUUUCUACAUUGUAUUCAGCUCAAUCAAUCAUUCAGCAGCUUCCAUCAUCCUUAUUUUUCCUCUGUCUUUCCCAGUUAGACCUUGUUCUCUUUAGACUGGUGGUAGGUUUGUGCCUUGUACAGGGGGUGCUCAACUGAGCUGGGGACAUGAUGGCUGCUGUCACGCUGAUCAUAAUUUUCCUCAGAAAGGAAACAGCAAAUGCCUUUGUAUUUUGUUCUCCCACUAUUGUGCUCCCAGACCCCGUCUCCAAGGACAGGACCCCUCCCCUUUGCCUCCUUUUUAUGAUUUGCCUUGCCUUCCCCAAGCCCUGCUGCUGACUGCACUCUCACUGAUUAUUUUUUUUUUAGAGGCUGUAAACCUCAGCUCCAGCUCAGCUCGCAUUACUGUCAGAGAAGUAUCUCUUGGCUGUUUACAGAAGAGAAAAUGGAAAGAUGAGCAUUAUUUCAUGUGAAAUGUGGUAGAGAGCCUAUGCUGAGCUUCUUUGAGAGGCCUGAGGCUCCAGCUACCUGAAGAAGGCAGUGAAAGCUUCCGUCAUCUGGUGAUUCAGCUCUCCCUGCCACGGCUCUGGCCCUGCUCUGCGUGGGUGUCUCACAGCUCUCAUCAACUCUGAUUUUGAUGCAGACCAGGAGCUACUGGGCUGAUCGCCCAAGUUUACCUUGUAUGAAAGAGUUUGCUGGCUGUUCAGUUGUCUGGUGUUCUCUUGAAGAUGUAAAAUAAAUAAAUAAAUACAUACAUACCUAAAUAAAA